AGGAUUAACGCUGGCGGCGUGCAUGAAACAUGCAAGUCGAGCGCGGUGUGAUGCGGGGUAACCCAAUUCACAUCUAGCGGCGAACGGGUGAGUAACACGUGAGCAACCUACCUUUGAGUUGGGGAUAGCCCUGGGAAACCAGGAUUAAUACCCGAUGUGGUCACAACAGGACAUCCUGAUGUGAGUAAAGGCGUAAGCCGCUCAAUGACGGGCUCGCGGCCUAUUAGCUUGUUGGUGGGGUAACGGCCUACCAAGGCGAUGAUGGGUAGCUGGUCUGAGAGGACGAUCAGCCACACUGGGACUGAGACACGGCCCAGACUCCUACGGGAGGCAGCAGUAGGGAAUCUUGCGCAAUGGGCGAAAGCCUGACGCAGCCAUGCCGCGUGAAUGAUGAAGGUCUUAGGAUUGUAAAAUUCUUUCAGCGGGACGAUAAUGACGGUACCCGCAGAAGAAGCCCCGGACUAACUUCGUGCCAGCAGCCGCGGUUAA
rnacentral:rRNA from 1 species